rnacentral:rRNA from 1 species
GACGUAGGGCGCGAGCGUUGUCCGGAUUUAUUGGGCGUAAAGAGCUCGUAGGCGGCUCGUUGCGUCGGCUGUGAAAACCCGCAGCUCAACUGUGGGCUUGCAGCUGAUACGGGCGGGCUGGGAUUCGGUAGGGGAGACUGGAAUUCCUGGUGUAGCGGUGAAGUGCGCAGAUAUCAGGAGGAACACCGGUGGCGAAGGCGGGUCUCUGGGCCGAUAUCGACGCUGAGGAGCGAAAGCGUGGGGAGCGAACAGG